GAGUUUGAUCCUAGCUCAGGGUGAACGCUGGCGGCGUGCCUAAGGCAUGCAAGUCGAACGAAUUUAUUUUCAGUAGCAAUACUGAAAACUGAUUAGUGGCAAACGGGUGCGUAACACAUUGGUAACCUGCCCGUGAGAUGGGUAUAACCCCGCGAAAGCGGGGCUAAUCCCCAAUGGAGAUGCGGGGAUGCAAAUCAUUCGCAUCUAAACGGAGGACAGAUGACAGAGGACAGAUGACGGACUACCAACAUUCCGUCUUCCGUUUUCCGUUUUCUGUCUUCCGCUCACGGAGGGGCCUAUGGUCUAUCAGCUAGUUGGUGGGGUAACGGCCUACCAAGGCUACGACGGAUAGCGGGUUUGAGAGAACGGCCCGCCUCAGUGGAACUGCGACACUGUCCACACUCCUACGGGAGGCUGCAGUCAGGAAUAUUGGGCAAUGGGCGAAAGCCUGACCCAGCGACGCCGCGUGCAGGAAGAAGCCCUUCGGGGUGUAAACUGCUUUUGCCGCCGAAUAAGACCGCAAGGUCUGAAUGUAGGCGGAGAAUAAGUGGUUGCUAACUCUGUGCCAGCAGCAGCGGUAAUACAGAGACCACAAGCGUUACCCGGAUUUACUGGGCUUAAAGCGUCCGCAGGUGGUUUGAUGCAUCUUCUGUUAAAUUCCGAGGCUCAACUUCGGACCUGCAGAAGAGAUGAUUAAACUAGAGGUUGGGAGAGGCAAGUGGAAUUACCGGUGUAGGGGUAAAAUCCGUUCAUAUCGGUAAGAACACCAAAGGCGAAGGCAGCUUGCUAGAACAAACCUGACACUCAUGGACGAAAGCGUGGGGAGAAAAAAGGAUUCAAAUCAAGGGAAGGUUCGUGGAGAAAAGGCAUCCCGUAUCAACGGGAUUUAUGAUCCACAGAACUUCGGAUCCCUUCCUAGUCUUAUGGAAGGAAAACUUGGCUAUAUGCUGGAAUAUCUGAGAAUUCACACCUACCGAAAGUUGUAGCGGCGACCUUCAGGUCGCCAUCGUGGCGGUCUAAAGACCGCCGCUACGCCAACGAGUAAAAAUGGUCGUGAUGCAGACAACCAGCAGGGAAGAAUUAGAAAGGAGUUAGAUAUGAAGUAUGAGGCGUGCGUGGUUAAUAAAGAAAACGAUUAUGUUUCCCCAACACGGAUUCCGGUUUCCGGGACUGUCGACGGAGAAGCAAUCAAGAAUUUCAAAGCACUGCGCCGUGCUCAUGGAGAUAGCUCGCUUCUCACCCUCAAGUUGAUGAAAAUCGACGACAAGGGUGCGGAAAGCGAAAUUGAAGUGACCUAACAAUUUGAUUCCCCUCAGAGACUAUACGCCGAGGCACAUUAGGAAACGUGACGCCAGCUUGCCUGCAAGCUGGCCCACUAUUUUCUCAAUGUGCAUGAUAUAGUCCGACCUGCAUGGCGACAUGCAGAGUCCGGCAGAAAUGCCCGGACCACGCAGCAAAGAAUUAGAAAUUAGAUGAAUUAGGUAAAUUAGAAAUUCUUUGUUGCGAAGUAACAAAGUGAGAUACCCUUGUAUUCCACGCCCUAAACGAUGAGCGCUAGAUAUUGGAAGUAUCGACCCUUUCAGUGUCGUUUUCAUAAGGGAAACCGUUAAGCGCUCCGCC
rfam:Candidatus Thrbacteria bacterium RIFCSPLOWO2_01_FTLL_47_24 rifcsplowo2_01_scaffold_1067, whole genome shotgun sequence.